rnacentral:lncRNA from 1 species
GAGGCCCCGCCCAUAGUCGGAGCCAAUGUGGCAGCGCCGCACGAAAGCUCCGGAGCUCCGGUAGAACUCGGUCCCCGAAAGGUUGCGCCCCAGUUGACGAUCACCGGGAAGGGUUAAGGUGGUGGGCGGAGCCUGCAGCUACUAAGCCGGAAGCUACAGCCCGGGAGCAGAGGCAAGGCCUAGGCUUGCGGGUUCGCCUCUGGAAGGCAGGCAAGUGGCACUCCGCGAGUAAAACUGCUCUUCUUCCAGUUGUUUGCUCAGUGCUUCAUAUAAGCCUCAAAAAAUUUAUUACUACUUACCAAAAAACUAGAGAGGGAGACCUUCAUUUUCGUCUCAAGGUACUGCCUUGGGACUGACAUUUUCGUUCAUCCCUGGAGACCACCCAGAAAAGACUUUCCUGCCUUUCUUCCCAGUCACUGAAAAAUCAACCGCCAUUAUUUAGCGAUCCUUUAGGAAUCGUCUGCAAUGAUAUGCGUGGACGGUUAAGGACUUUUCUUCCCACUCUGUCUCAUACAAUCCUUGUUCACUCUGUUCACUUACUAAGUAAUAAACCUAGUGACCCUUGCCUACUUACGCUGUAACAAACAAUUUCAAGUGCUGUGCUUUUUUAUUCCAGAGCUACCAAUCUUCCUGGCCAGUGUUCCUACAGCUUUACUUUCAUUCUUGCCUGCCCACCAUUUUUUCUUAUAAUCUUUUUGGAUUAUAAUUACAUCAUUUUUCCCCUGCCUCUCUCCAAACCUCUCAUAUUCACACACACACACACACACACACACUCACCCUUUCAAAUUCAUAGCCUCUUCUUUGUUGUGAUAUAGCUCCUAAAUAUAUAAAUACAGCCUAUUCAGUCUGUAUGUUAAGUAGGUAUAUGUUUUCAAGGCUGAUCAUUUGCUAUGGGAAAACCAAUUUCUAUGUUCUUCCCUAAAACUGAUUAUUUCUCCAGCUCUCAGAAUUCCUUAGUUAGCUAGGAUUGAGGCCCUGUGCGCUUUCUCCCUUACACCAUGCUUAGCUGAUGUUGUCCUUGCUCAGGUCAGUUAGGCAGCCAUGUUGGUUAUGUUACUUCACGGAUGUAGCUUCUCUGACAUUUUAAGGAGAUAAAUCUUAGAGCGAACUGUCUGGUCCUCUGGUUGUUGCAGCUUUUCCUCCCCUUCUUCCACAAUGAUCUCUGAGCCUUAAGUUCAGGACUUGUGGUGGAGUUCUAUCUGUGGGGACUGGGCUCCACCAAUCUGCAUUCUGAUCAGUUUCAAUUUCUGUAAUGAUCUCUAUCUGGAGAAGAUGUUUUCCUUGAUGAAGAGUGAGAACUACACUUAACCUAUAGGUGUAGGGAUGAGUAUUUAGGAUGUAAUUAGGGACUAUGCUGGUUUAGCAACGUGAUCCAUGACUUCACUAGCCCCAGAUAGUCGCCUAGGUUUCCAGGAUCAGGCGUGAUUUCUCUCUUAUUGAGCAGGCAUAAAGUCCAAUUAAACAGCUGUUGGUUAACCAACAAGAUAUAUGUGCCACUAUUGCUGUCUGUCUUCAAGUCAGCUUUCAAAAACAAAGCAGAUAAUACUUAAGGCCUCCCAUAACGCAUUAAAUAAAUUCCAAUCUUUUCU